ACGAACGCUGGCGGCAUGCCUAACACAUGCAAGUCGAACGAGACCUUCGGGUCUAGUGGCGCCCGGGUGCGUAACGCGUGGGAACCUGCCCUUAGGUUCGGAAUAAAUCCCCGAAAGGGGUGCUAAUACCGGAUAAUGUCUUCGGACCAAAGAUUUAUCGCCUUUGGAUGGGCCCGCGUUGGAUUAGCUAGUUGGUAGGGUAAAAGCCUACCAAGGCGACGAUCCAUAGCUGGUCUGAGAGGAUGAUCAGCCACACUGGGACUGAGACACGGCCCAGACUCCUACGGGAGGCAGCAGUGGGGAAUAUUGGACAAUGGGCGAAAGCCUGAUCCAGCAAUGCCGCGUGAGUGAUGAAGGCCUUAGGGUUGUAAAGCUCUUUUACCCGGGAUGAUAAUGACAGUACCGGGAGAAUAAGCUCCGGCUAACUCCGUG
rnacentral:rRNA from 1 species